AACGAACGCUGGCGGCAUGCCUAACACAUGCAAGUCGAACGAGACCUUCGGGUCUAGUGGCGCACGGGUGCGUAACGCGUGGGAACCUGCCCUUAGGCUCGGAAUAACUCCCCGAAAGGGGUGCUAAUACCGGAUAAUGUCUUCGGACCAAAGAUUUAUCGCCUUUGGAUGGGCCCGCGUUGGAUUAGCUAGUUGGUAGGGUAAAAGCCUACCAAGGCGACGAUCCAUAGCUGGUCUGAGAGGAUGAUCAGCCACACUGGGACUGAGACACGGCCCAGACUCCUACGGGAGGCAGCAGUGGAGAAUAUUGGACAAUGGGCGAAAGCCUGAUCCAGCAAUGCCGCGUGAGUGAUGAAGGCCUUAGGGUUGUAAAGCUCUUUUACCCGGGAUGAUAAUGACAGUACCGGGAGAAUAAGCUCCGGCUAACUCCGUG
rnacentral:rRNA from 1 species